GACGAACGCUGGCGGCGUGCUUAACACAUGCAAGUCGAACGGAAAGGCCCUGCUUGCAGGGUACUCGAGUGGCGAACGGGUGAGUAACACGUGGGUGAUCUGCCCUGCACUUCGGGAUAAGCCUGGGAAACUGGGUCUAAUACCGGAUAGGAGCCAUUUUUAGUGUGAUGGUUGGAAAGUUUUUUCGGUGUAGGAUGAGCUCGCGGCCUAUCAGCUUGUUGGUGGGGUAAUGGCCUACCAAGGCGGCGACGGGUAGCCGGCCUGAGUGGGUGGACGGCCACAUUGGGACUGAGAUACGGCCCAGACUCCUACGGGAGGCAGCAGUGGGGAAUAUUGCACAAUGGGCGCAAGCCUGAUGCAGCGACGCCGCGUGGGGGAUGACGGCCUUCGGGUUGUAAACUCCUUUCGCUAGGGACGAAGCUUUUUGUGACGGUACCGAGAUAAGAAGCACCGGCUAACUACGU
rnacentral:rRNA from 1 species